rnacentral:rRNA from 1 species
UACGUAGGGUGCGAGCGUUAAUCGGAAUUACUGGGCGUAAAGCGUGCGCAGGCGGUUCGUUAAGUCAGCUGUGAAAGCCCCGGGCUCAACCUGGGAAUUGCGGUUGAAACUGGCGGACUAGAAUCUGGCAGAGGGGGGUGGAAUUCCACGUGUAGCAGUGAAAUGCGUAGAGGAUGUGGAGGAACACCGAUGGCGGAAGGCAGCCUCCUGGGCCAGCACUGACGCUCAUGCACGAAGCG